rnacentral:rRNA from 1 species
AUGGCUCACCAAGACUUCGACGCGUAGCGGGACUGAGAGGUUGGCCCGCCAUAUCGGGACUGAGACACUGCCCGGACCUCCACGGAGGGCUGCAGUAACGAAUAUUGCGCAAUGGCCGAAAGGCUGACGCAGCGACGCCGCGUGCAGGACGAAGCCCCUCGGGGUGUAAACUGCUGUCAGGGUGACGAAAGGUGCGGGUUGUAAUACCCAAACUUGAUCGAUCCCAAAGGAAGGCCCGGCUAACUUCGUGCCAGCAGCCGCGGUAAUACGAAGGGGCCAAGCGUUGUUCGGAAUCAUUGGGCUUAAAGCGCGCGUAGGCGGAUAGUUAAGUGUCUUGUGAAAUCCCUCGGCUCAACCGAGGAACUGCAGGGCAUACUGGCUGUCUUGAGACAAACAGGGGUGUAUGGAACUCUGGGUGGAGCGGUGAAAUGCGUAGAUAUCCAGAGGAACGCCAGCGGAGAAAUCGGUACACUGGGUUUGUUCUGACGCUGAGGUGCGAAAGCGUGGGUAGCGAACGGGAUUAGAUACCCCGGUAGUCCACGCCGUAAACGAUGUAUACUAGAUCGUGGGGAUUCUGACAUUCUCGCGGUCGUGCAAAAGUAUUAAGUAUACCGCCUGGGGAGUACGGUCGCAAGGCUAAAACUCAAAGGAAUUGACGGGGGCUCACACAAGCAGUGGAGCAUGUGGCUUAAUUCGAAACAACGCGAAGAACCUUAUCCUGGGUUUGACUAUUACGGAUGCCCUCUGUGAAAGCAGAGAAAGCUGCCUUCGGGUGAAACGUAAACAGGUGCUGCAUGGCUGUCGUCAGCUCAUGUCGUGAGAUGUCGGGUUAAGACCCUUAACGAGCGAAACCCUUAUCGUUAGUUGCCAGCGAGUAAUGUCGGGGACUCUAGCGAGACUGCCGGUGUUAAACCGGAGGAAGGUGGGGAUGACGUCAAGUCCUCAUGGCCUUUAUGCCCAGGGCUGCACACGUGCUACAAUGGCGCGGACAAACCGAAGCGAUGUCGCGAGGCGGAGCAAAUCGGAUAAACCGCGCCCCAGUUCGGAUUGCAGGCUGCAACUCGCCUGCAUGAAGUUGGAAUUGCUAGUAAUCGCAGAUCAGCAUGCUGCGGUGAAUAUGUUCCUGAGCCUUGUACACACCGCCCGUCAAGUCACGGAGGCCGGGAGUACCUGAAGUCGGGUAGUCAACCUUUUAGGAGACGCCUGCCGAUGGUAAGUUCGGUAACUGGGGCUAAGUCGUAACAAGGUA